rnacentral:tRNA from 1 species
CAAAUUAGAGCUUGAUAAAAGUAUUUCAUUUACAUUGAAAAGAUAUUAUGUUAUAAUUAAUUUGA